rnacentral:rRNA from 1 species
UUAAUACUCCAUAAAGUCAAUUUAAGGCAUCUUUUAUUGAUUAAAGCUCCGGCGGUUAGAGAUGGGCAUGCGUGUCAUUAGCUAGUUGGUGAGGUAACGGCUCACCAAGGCCACGAUGACUAGGGGGUCUGAGAGGAUGAUCCCCCACACUGGUACUGAGACACGGACCAGACUCCUACGGGAGGCAGCAGUGAGGAAUAUUGGGCAAUGGACGCAAGUCUGACCCAGCCAUGCCGCGUGCAGGAUGACUGCCCUAUGGGUUGUAAACUGCUUUUGUUUGGGAAGAAACCCCCGAUCGUGAUCGGGGCUGACGGUACCAUACGAAUAAGCAUCGGCUAACUCCGUGCCAGCAGCCGCGGUAAUACGGAGGAUGCAAGCGUUAUCCGGAUUCAUUGGGUUUAAAGGGUGCGCAGGCGGAAUAUUAAGUCAGUGGUGAAAUCCUGCAGCUUAACUGUAGAACUGCCAUUGAUACUGAUAUUCUUGAAUAUAGUUGAGGUGGGCGGAAUGUGUAAUGUAGCGGUGAAAUGCUUAGAUAUUACACAGAACACCAAUUGCGAAGGCAGCUCACUAAACUAAUAUUGACGCUGAGGCACGAAAGCGUGGGUAGCAAACAGGAUUAGAUACCCUGGUAGUCCACGCUGUAAACUAUGAUCACUCGCUGUUGGCAAUACAUCGUCAGCGGCUGAGCGAAAGCAUUAAGUGAUCCACCUGGGGAGUACGGUCGCAAGAUUGAAACUCAAAGGAAUUGACGGGGGCCCGCACAAGCGGAGGAACAUGUGGUUUAAUUCGAUGAUACGCGAGGAACCUUACCUGGGCUUAAAUGCAGAGCGACGUCCGCCGAAAGGUGGAUUCCUUCGGGCGAUCUGCAAGGUGCUGCAUGGUUGUCGUCAGCUCGUGCCGUGAGGUGUCGGGUUAAGUCCCAUAACGAGCGCAACCCUUAUCGUUAGUUGCCAGCGGGUAAUGCCGGGGACUCUAACGAAACUGCCGGUGUAAACCGUGAGGAAGGUGGGGAUGACGUCAAAUCAGCACGGCCCUUAUGUCCAGGGCUACACACGUGUUACAAUGGUCGGUACAGAGGGCAGCUACCACGCAAGUGGAUGCUAAUCUCGAAAACCGUUCUCAGUUCGGAUUGAAGUCUGCAACUCGACUUCAUG